rnacentral:rRNA from 1 species
GCAGUCGACGGUGAUCCCUGGCUUGCUGGGGUGAUCAGUGGCGAACGGGUGAGUAACACGUGAGUAACCUGCCCAUGGCUCUGGGAUAACCUGGGGAAACCGAGGCUAAUACCGGAUAUGACGCGCACAGGCAUCUGUUGCGUGUGGAAAGUUUUUCGGCCAUGGAUGGGCUCGCGGCCUAUCAGCUUGUUGGUGGGGUAAUGGCCUACCAAGGCGACGACGGGUAGCCGGCCUGAGAGGGUGAUCGGCCACACUGGGACUGAGACACGGCCCAGACUCCUACGGGAGGCAGCAGUGGGGAAUAUUGCGCAAUGGGCGAAAGCCUGACGCAGCGACGCCGCGUGAGGGAUGAAGGCCUUCGGGUUGUAAACCUCUUUCAGCUCUGACGAAGCGAAAGUGACGGUAGGAGCAGAAGAAGCACCGGCUAACUACGUGCCAGCAGCCGCGGUAAUACGUAGGGUGCAAGCGUUGUCCGGAAUUAUUGGGCGUAAAGAGCUCGUAGGCGGUUUGUCGCGUCUGGUGUGAAAAUCCAGGGCUUAACCCUGGACCUGCAUCGGGUACGGGCAGACUAGAGUGCGGUAGGGGAGAUCGGAAUUCCUGGUGUAGCGGUGAAAUGCGCAGAUAUGCGGAGGAACACCGAUGGCGAAGGCAAUCCCCUGGACCUGUACUGACGCUCAUGCACGAAAGCGUGGGGAGCAAACAGGAUUAG